GACAGAGGGUGCAAACGUUGUUCGGAAUUACUGGGCGUAAAGUGUGCGCAGGCGGCGUUGCAAGUCGAGUGUGAAAUCCCCGAGCUUAACUUGGGAAUUGCGCUCGAAACUACGAUGCUAGAGUGUGGCAGAGGAAGGUGGAAUUCCACGUGUAGCGGUGAAAUGCGCAGAUAUCAGGAGGAACACCGGUGGCGAAGGCGGGUCUCUGGGCCGGAACUGACGCUAAGGAGCGAAAGCGUGGGGAGCGAACAGG
rnacentral:rRNA from 1 species